rnacentral:rRNA from 1 species
UACGUAGGGGGCAAGCGUUGUCCGGAUUUAUUGGGCGUAAAGAGCGUGUAGGCGGCCUGACAGGUCUGCUGUGAAAACUCGAGGCUCAACCUUCAGAGGUCGACCGAAACCAUCUGGCUAGAGUCCGGGAGAGGAGAGUGGAAUUCCUGGUGUAGCGGUGAAAUGCGCAGAUAUCAGGAAGAACACCCGUGGCGAAAGCGGCUCUCUGGAACGGUACUGACGCUGAGACGCGAAAGCGUGGGGAGCGAACAGG